rnacentral:rRNA from 1 species
GUGUCAGCCGCCGCGGUAAUACAGAGGGUGCGAGCGUUGUCCGGAAUCACUGGGCGUAAAGGGCGCGUAGGUGGCUCGGCAAGUCCGUGGUGAAAGCUCGAUGCUCAACAUCGAGUCGGCCACGGAUACUGCUGGGCUGGAGCACUGUAGAGGCAGAUGGAAUUCCGGGUGUAGCGGUGGAAUGCGUAGAGAUCCGGAAGAACACCGGUGGCGAAGGCGGUCUGCUGGGCAGUUGCUGACACUGAUGCGCGACAGCGUGGGGAGCAAACAGGAUUAGAAACCCCAGUAGUCC